rnacentral:misc_RNA from 1 species
GUGGCGAGUCGUUGGUUACCGGUAUAAAUUCUUCCAACUCCACCUACCCCCAACGCCACCCCAUUCACCAGGCAGCUGCCAUAGCCCGCUGCCGUCAAAAAGCCCACUACAGUAUCGGAGUUCGGCGUGCAUUUGCUUGCUCAAACCUGAGCGACCAUGGCUGCUUUUUGUGGCAACAGUAUUUGGACUCCUCAAGCUCGAAAUUGUUUUCAGCGGGGAAUAACUUGUUCUAAUUCGUUAAAGUUUUUACCUUUUCAAUUUAGUUGUUGUAAGAGAUUGUGGGGUAGGUCAUUGAAGUGCAGGGUUUUGGGCGAAACGGACGAUGUGGGAUUUGAAGUGAGUAGUGCCAUAAAAGACGACCUAUUUGUUGGUUUUUUCAGAGAAGCAUGGCCUUAUUUUCUUGCACAUCGAGGAAGCACGUUUGUUGUUUUAAUCUCAGCUGAAAUUGUUGAUAGCCCUCAUUUGGAUCAUCUUCUCAUGGAUAUCUCCCUUCUUCAUGGUCUGGGAAUCAAAUUUGUUCUUGUGCCAGGAACUCAUGUUCAGAUUGACCGGCUUCUGACUGAAAGGGGAAGUGAGGCCAAGUAUGUAGGCCGCUACAGAAUUACAGACCCUGAUUCACUCGAGGCAGCUAUGGAUACAUCCG